AACGAACGCUGGCGGCAGGCCUAACACAUGCAAGUCGAGCGCGCCCUUCGGGGUGAGCGGCGGACGGGUGAGUAACGCGUGGGAACGUGCCCUUCUCUGCGGAAUAGCCUCGGGAAACUGAGAGUAAUACCGCAUACGCCCUUUGGGGGAAAGAUUUAUCGGAGAAGGAUCGGCCCGCGCUGGAUUAGGUAGUUGGUGGGGUAAUGGCCCACCAAGCCGACGAUCCAUAGCUGGUUUGAGAGGAUGAUCAGCCACACUGGGACUGAGACACGGCCCAGACUCCUACGGGAGGCAGCAGUGGGGAAUCUUAGACAAUGGGGGCAACCCUGAUCUAGCCAUGCCGCGUGAGUGAUGAAGGCCUUAGGGUUGUAAAGCUCUUUCAGCUGGGAAGAUAAUGACGGUACCAGCAGAAGAAGCCCCGGCUAACUCCGUG
rnacentral:rRNA from 1 species